CGGUAACACCGGCAGCCCGAGUGGUGAUCACUAUUAUUGGGUCUAAAGGGUCCGUAGCCGGUUUAAUCAGUCUUCUGGGAAAUCUAAUCGCUUAACUAUUAGGCUUCCAGGGGAUACUGUUAGACUUGGGACCGGGAGAGGUAAGAGGUACUGCAGGGGUAGGAGUGAAAUCUUGUAAUCCCUGUGAGACCACCAGUGGCGAAGGCGUCUUACCAGAACGGGUCCGACGGUGAGGGACGAAAGCUGGGGGCACGAACCGGAUUAGAUACCCGGGUAGUCCCAGCUGUAAACGAUGCUCGUUAGGUGUCAGGAACGGUGCGACUGUUUCUGGUGCCGAAGGGAAGCCGUGAAACGAGCCACCUGGGAAGUACGGCCGCAAGGCUGAAACUUAAAGGAAUUGGCGGGGGAGCACUACAACGGGUGGAGCCUGCGGUUUAAUUGGACUCAACGCCGGAAAACUCACCGGGGGCGACAGCAAUAUGUAGGUCAGGUUAAAGGUCUUACCUGAAUCGCUGAGAGGAGGUGCAUGGCCGUCGUCAGUUCGUACUGUGAAGCAUCCUGUUAAGUCAGGCAACGAGCAAGACCCGUGCCCACUGUUACCAGCAUAUCCUUUAUGGAUGAUGGGGACUCUGUGGGGACCGCUGCUGCUAAAGCAGAGGAAGGUGCGGGCUACGGUAGGUCAGUAUGCCCCGAAUCUCCCGGGCUACACGCGGGCUACAAUGGUUGGGACAAUGGGUAUCUACUCCGAAAGGAGUUGGCAAUCUCUUAAACCCAAUCGUAGUUCGAAUUGAGGGCUGUAACUCGCCCUCAUGAAGCUGGAAUCCGUAGUAAUCGCGUUUCAACAUAGCGCGGUG
rnacentral:rRNA from 1 species